rnacentral:rRNA from 1 species
GCCUCGGGGAGCUGUAAGCAAGCUUUGAUCCGGGGAUGUCCGAAUGGGGAAACCCGGCUGUCUUCAUCGACAGUCACUACUCACUGAAUACAUAGGUGAGUGAGAGGCAGACCAGGGGAACUGAAACAUCUAAGUACCCUGAGGAAGAGAAAACAAUAGUGAUUCCGUCAGUAGCGGCGAGCGAACGCGGAUUAGCCCAAACCAAGGAGCUUGCUCC